rnacentral:rRNA from 1 species
GAUGAACGCUGACAGAAUGCUUAACACAUGCAAGUCUACUUGAUUCUACUUCGGUAGUUGAUGGUGGCGGACGGGUGAGUAACGCGUAAAGAAUCUGCCCUUUAGUUCGGGAUAACCUUUGGAAACGAUGGAUAAUACCGGAUAUUAUGGAGACGUCGCAUGACGAUUUCAUGAAAGCUAUAUGCGCUAGAGGAGGACUUUGCGUCCCAUUAGUUAGUUGGUGAGGUAAUGGCUCACCAAGACCGCGAUGGGUAGCCGGCCUGAAGGGGUGAUCGGCCACAAGGGAACUGAGACACGGUCCUUACUCCUACGGGAGGCAGCAUUGGGGAAUAUUGGACAAUGGGCCACAAGCCUGAUCCAGCAAUUCUGUGUGCACGAUGAAGGUCUUCGGAUUGUAAAGUGCUUUCAGUAGGGAAGAAAAAAUGACGGUACCUACAGAAGAAGCGACGGCUAAAUAUGUGCCAGCAGCCGCAGUAAUAC